rnacentral:rRNA from 1 species
AGCGAACGCUGGCGGCAGGCUUAACACAUGCAAGUCGAGCGCCCCGCAAGGGGAGCGGCAGACGGGAGAGUAACACGUGGGAACAUACCUUUUGGUUCGGAACAACUGAGGGAAACUUCAGCUAAUACCGGAUAAGCCCUUACGGGGAAAGAUUUAUCGCCGAAAGAUUGGCCCGCGUCUGAUUAGCUAGUUGGUGAGGUAACGGCUCACCAAGGCGACGAUCAGUAGCUGGUCUGAGGGGAUGAUCAGCCUCACUGGGACUGAGACACGGCCCAGACUCCUACGGGAGGCAGCAGUGGGGAAUAUUGGACAAUGGGGGCAACCCUGAUCCAGCCAUGCCGCGUGAGUGAUGAAGGCCUUAGGGUUGUAAAGCUCUUUUGCCCGGGAAGAUAAUGACGGUACCGGGAGAAUAAGCCCCGGCUAACUUCGUG